UCAGUAGAUAGUUUAACAAAAAAAAUAUUAGUUUUGGAGACUAACGAUGCAACUCUGUUUUACUG
rnacentral:tRNA from 1 species